AUGUGCAUCCCAAAGAAGAAAGGGAGCAUGGGUUUUAGAGACUUGCACAACUUUAAUCUUGCUAUGUUAGCAAAACAGUGUUGACGUCUAAUCCAGAACCCUGGUUCAUUUUGUGCGCAUGUAUUAAGUGCAAAAUAUUUUCCUGAUGGAAAUAUAUUAACGACUGGCCCCAAGAAAGGUUCUUCAUAUACUUGGCAAAGUAUAGUCUCAGGGAUCCAAACUUUUAAGAGGGGAUGUUUGUGGAGAGUUGGAAAUGGCUCAAAGAUCAAUAUUUGGCAAGAUUCUUGGACUUCGUCUAGUGUUUCAAGGAAAGUGAUCACACCAAGGGGACAAACUUUACUAUCGAAGGUGGAAGAAUUGAUCAACCCACACAUUGAUCAAUGGGACGAGGAACUCAUACGUUCUGUUUUCAGCUAAGUGGAUGUUAGUAGAAUUCUGCAAAUCCCUCUCCGAGUUGAUAUUGUAGAGGACUUUGUUGCAUGGAACCACACAAGGUCAAGAUACUUCUCAAUGUGAUCUUCAUAACAUGUGGAGUUUGAUCACCAAUAUGGUCAGCGAAAAUUACUUACUGAUGGUGCGGGAAGCGUUCAAGUAAAUGAAAUUUGGAAGGAUAUGUGGCGUCUAAAAGUCCUCGGUAAAGUCAAACAUUUUGUAGGGAAGGUACUGCGUGGAAUACUUCCAUGUUACAGCGUGCUAGCUAGUUGUCAUAUUCCUGUCACUACCUAGUGCCCGAUGUGCAAAAUUGGGUUGAAGGAUAUACAACAUUGCUUGUUCACUUGCACUAGACCGCUGGAAGUUUGGGCUGCUUUAAGCUUGGAGGAGGUGAAAGUGCAACUAUCCCUGGGUGGUUUUGGUAAUUAUUAA
rnacentral:rRNA from 1 species